rnacentral:piRNA from 1 species
UGUGCAGUAUGCAACUCUCAA